GACGGAGGAUGCUAGCGUUAUCCGGAAUGAUUGGGCGUAAAGCGUCCGCAGGUGGCAGUUCAAGUCUGCUGUCAAAGACCGGGGCUUAACUUCGGAAAGGCAGUGGAAACUGAACAGCUAGAGUAUGGUAGGGGCGGAGGGAAUUCCUGGUGUAGCGGUGAAAUGCGUAGAGAUCAGGAAGAACAUCGGUGGCGAAGGCGCUCUGCUGGACCAUAACUGACACUCAGGGACGAAAGCUAGGGGAGCGAAUGGG
rnacentral:rRNA from 1 species